rnacentral:tRNA from 1 species
CAGGGAGACAACAAAAUGUUUAAUAUUAUUAUUUUGUCACCUUAGGUCGAUCGGUAUCUCACGUUCUUAAUUCGUUAAGAAUUUCAUUUCCUAAGUUUUUCUAGGUCACACCCAUUAUUUUUCCUGGGCCAUUAGCUCAGGUGGUUAGAGCGCACCCCUGAUAAGGGUGAGGUCCCUGGUUCAAGUCCAGGAUGGCCCAUAUCUCUAUGUUGGGGGUAUAGCUCAGUUGGUAGAGCGCCUGCUUUGCAAGCAGGAUGUCAGCGGUUCGAGUCCGCUUACCUCCACUGAUUACCACCUCUUCCAUAACCGAUAGAAAGGAAAUGUUUUGAGAUGUGAUCAUUAUUCUGAACGAAUCUAGCUUCCUAAUGAAAUCAUUAAGAUGCUGGACUCAUUGAAUUAAUUUUCAUUGUUUUCAGAGAACCUUGACAACUGCAUAGAUUAUUUUUAAAGACAAUAAGCAUCUUUAAUGAUGCAGAUUUAUUAUUUGUGCGAAUGCAUUAAUAACAAUUCUAUUAAGCUGAUGCUUCAAUUUUUGAAGAUAUU